rnacentral:rRNA from 1 species
GACGAACGCUGGCGGCGUGCCUAAUACAUGCAAGUUGAGCGCUGAAGGUUGGUACUUGUCCCAACUGGAUGAGCAGCGAACGGGCGAGUAACGCGUGGGGAAUCUGCCUUUGAGCGGGGGACAACAUUUGGAAACGAAUGCUAAUACCGCAUAAAAACUUUAAACACAAGUUUUAAGUUUGAAAGAUGCUAUUGCAUCACUCAAAGAUGAUCCCGCGUUGUAUUAGCUAGUUGGUGAGGUAAAGGCUCACCAAGGCGAUGAUACAUAGCCGACCUGAGAGGGUGAUCGGCCACAUUGGGACUGAGACACGGCCCAAACUCCUACGGGAGGCAGCAGUAGGGAAUCUUCGGCAAUGGACGAAAGUCUGACCGAGCAACGCCGCGUGAGUGAAGAAGGGUUUCGGAUCGUAAAACUCUGUUGGUAGAGAAGAACGUUGGUGAGAGUGGAAAGCUCAUCAAGUGACGGUAACUACACAGAAAGGGACGGCUAACUACGUG